CAGAUGCAGCCCGAAUAUAAAAAAUAUGACGACGCCACAGUGGCCCUAGUUUCGUACAGCACAUGGCGGAAUCUGUCACGGCGAGGCAAUUUUGUGAGACAACGAGAGUCUCUCGGGUGUGCGUGUGAUCAAGUUUUUGUGAGGAACCUGCAUGAUCUUGCGCAUGAAGUAAAUAUUUUUGGACAGUUUCUUCUCUGGACGGCGUUACAAGUACAGGCAAGCGGGCAUCAACGGUUGUUAUUGCUGUACUUUGUGGUGUUGUGAUUCACCAGUGCGGAUCGAAGAGCACAGUUUUCUCCAGCCCGGAUUCUACAAUUUGGAGAUGGUGUACAAGGCGAUGUGCAAGUGCAUUUCACACCUUGGGGAGCUGCAAGAUAUGCUUUCACAAUCCUUGCUGCAAGUGUUCAAAUAAAGGGUUUCAAGUUUCA
rnacentral:lncRNA from 1 species